rnacentral:rRNA from 1 species
AUUGAACGCUGGCGGCAUGCUUUACACAUGCAAGUCGAACGGCAGCACGGGGGCAACCCUGGUGGCGAGUGGCGAACGGGUGAGUAAUGCAUCGGAACGUAUCUUCAAGUGGGGGAUAACGCAUCGAAAGAUGCGCUAAUACCGCAUAAUCUCUGAGGAGAAAAGCAGGGGAUCGCAAGACCUUGCGCUUCUGGAGCGGCCGAUGUCNGAUUAGCUAGUUGGUGGGGUAAAGGCUUACCAAGGCUUCGAUCAGUAGCUGGUCUGAGAGGACGACCAGCCACAC